rnacentral:rRNA from 1 species
AGACCCGAAACCCGGUGAUCUAGCCAUGGGCAGGUUGAAGGUUGGGUAACACUAACUGGAGGACCGAACCGACUAAUGUUGAAAAAUUAGCGGAUGACCUGUGGCUGGGGGUGAAAGGCCAAUCAAACCGGGAGAUAGCUGGUUCUCCCCGAAAGCUAUUUAGGUAGCGCCUCGUGAAUUCAUCUCCGGGGGUAGAGCACUGUUUCGGCUAGGGGGCCAUCCCGGCUUACCAACCCGAUGCAAACUGCGAAUACCGGAGAAUGUUAUCACGGGAGACACACGGCGGGUGCUAACGUCCGUCGUGAAGAGGGAAACAACCCAGACCGCCAGCUAAGGUCCCAAAGUCAUGGUUAAGUGGGAAACGAUGUGGGAAGGCCCAGACAGCCAGGAUGUUGGCUUAGAAGCAGCCAUCAUUUAAAGAAAGCGUAAUAGCUCACUGGUCGAGUCGGCCUGCGCGGAAGAUGUAACGGGGCUAAACCAUGCACCGAAGCUGCGGCAGCGACGCUGAUGCGUUGUUGGGUAGGGGAGCGUUCUGUA